rnacentral:lncRNA from 10 species
UGGCUAUUGUCAUUCAGGAUAUAGCUGAUACGUGGUACCAGUUGCUGGAACACACAGAUUCGGGAAUCAAGGGUAGAUACAGGAUUGGUCCCUCUCACCAUCACUCUCAGUGAUCCACUAGCACCAAGGUGAAAGAAUGUCUAACAUUCAGAAAAUACACUCAAGAAUAGGUCUGAAAUCCAGGAGAAUGUCUCUUGGUGCCAUGGGCCCUUGUAGCAAGCAUGGCCUGAAAAAGCGAAGUCACCUGAGGGCUCAGACCCCCAGGGAUAUCAAUAAGUGUCAACCCAUCAGGCAAGCAACCUGGAACAGCCCAAAUGCUGAAAAUGAGGAAAAUCCUGAAUAGAGGCUGGAGAAGGAAGACAAUGAACAGCAACGUCAGCCCCUGGAUUUACAGCAGCAGGGAGCAGGGUUGUAGCUCCUUCUGUUAACUUUCUUGUAUGAAAUCUUUUUGCUAGAUGUCUGGCUACCACCUUGAAGACCCAGUAACAGAAUGGACUUAAUGAAUGUGGGGCAUGGGUGGAUCAGAGUGGUGCAAGCAGGGAGUAGACCACUUUCCAUGUCCUGCGUCACAUCCCCUUCCUCGGCCUCUGACCAGCUGCAGCUGUGGCAGGCAGUUCUGUGUGAGCUUGGACUCAUGCUGACAGCACCCCGAUUUCCAUCACACGGAGUGCAUCAUUCAGAUUUCUAUUUCAGCUCCUCCUCCGAAGUCCCAGGAGUCUGUUUGGCUUGUGUGACUCAAGCAGAGCCCAGAAAUUAGGGGAGUUAAUGGCCCUGGGACAACCCUCAACAAUGGAGGAUGGGAGCCGGUAGACAUAUGCCCCAGCCUCUUUGAGUUGGACAGUUCUGGGAAGCAUUCUGUAUGUUUUUCAGGAGAUCCCAGCGGAAUUGAGCCCCCAUUGCUCAUGGCAGUGACUUUGAUGAUGGACCUUAUAUUGGCUUUUCCUCCUCACUCUCACUUUUUCAUUCUCCUCAAUUCCUCACUUCUAUGUCCUGAGAUCAACUCCCAGUUAAACCACCUGCAUCUAAAUCCUUGUCUCAAUCUCUGCUCCUAGGAGAAUUCAAACUAAGACAGGAAGGAAAAGGUCAAGUUCACUCUGAGCUUGACGUGCUGAAGAGACAUCCCGUGGAAAUGUGCAGCAGGCAGUGGCCACGUGACUUUUGGAGAUGCUGAUUUAUGUAUCAGCAUGUGGUGACAGAUAAAACCACAGGCUAGAGAAAAUGCAUUCCUAAGAGGCCAGUGCAGAGGCAUCCUUCCAAGGCAGGGGUUCUCAACCACGAGCCAUUUUACCCCCCAGUAAAUAUUUGGCAAUGCCCGAGGACAUUUUUGGUUGUCACAACGGGAACAGGAACCUGCUACUGGCAUCUAAUGAGUAGAGGUGAAGGAUGCUGCUGAACAUCCUACAGUGCACAGGUCAGAACCCCAUAACAAAGAAUGAUCCAGCCCAAAAUAUCACUAGUGCCGAGGCUGAGAAACCUGUUCUAAGGGCAUUGCAAAGUACCAUGAGAGUGAUGCUGUGAAAGCUGGUUUCACAUAGCCAGAGGGGCCAGCAGGCAGUGCUGCAGGGGCCAUGGGAAGUAAGAACCAAUUAUUGCCCAUUGAGCUCAGCACCAUGGGGCAGAAGCCAGUGCCUUGAAGGCAGUCGAUGAAGAUGAGUACAGACUCUUUCCAGGAGCUUUGAGGGGAAGGAAAAGAGCAAGUGUUUGGGCUUAGCCAGAAGGAGCUGUAGAGUCAAGGAAGAGUUUUAAAAGAUACUGGAAUGAUAAACAUCCUGUAUAUGCUGAUGACAAAGCACCAGUUGGGACACCAGAAAGGGAUGACUGAUGGAAGAGAGAGAGCCCCGGGACAUAAUGUGGUACUCAAAGCCAGAUGAACUAACUUGGAUCAGGUAAGGAAAACCUUCCCUGGAAGCUGGAAGGAGGCAAGGGUGGGCAUAGUUAUAC